CAGUAGCCACGGUAAAACGAAGGGUGCAAGCGUUACUCGGAAUUACUGGGCGUAAAGCGUGCGUAGGUGGUUGUUUAAGUCUGCUGUGAAAGCCCUGGGCUCAACCUGGGAAUUGCAGUGGAUACUGGGCAACUAGAGUAAGGUAGAGGAUAGUGGAAUUUCCGGUGUAGCAGUGAAAUGCGUAGAGAUCGGAAGGAACAUCUGUGGCGAAGGCGACUAUCUGGGCCAUUACUGACACUGAGGCACGAAAGCGUGGGGAGCAAACAGGAUUAGAUACCCCAGUAGUCCCUGUCUCUUAUAC
rnacentral:rRNA from 1 species